rnacentral:rRNA from 1 species
CCCUUAGAUGUUCUGGGCCGCACGCGCGCUACACUGUUCGACGCAGCGAGUCUUAACCUUGACCGAAAGGUUUGGGUAAUCUUCAGCAAAGUCGAACGUGAUGGGGAUCGAUCAUUGCAAUUAUUGAUCGUGAACGAGGAAUUCCUAGUAAGUGCAAGUCAUCAGCUUGCGCUGAUUACGUCCCUGCCCUUUGUACACACCGCCCGUCGCUCCUACCGAUUGAAUGAUCCGAUGAAUACCAUGGAUUGAGAGUACGAAUGGGUUCGCUCAUUUCUGCUGCUCGAGAAGUGGAGUAAAUCUUAUCAUUUAGAGGAAGGAGAAGUCGUAACA